rnacentral:rRNA from 1 species
UUGUGCUUGCACAGAUGACGACCGGCGCACGGGUGCGUAACGCGUAUAGAACCUACCUUUUACAGAGGAAUAGCCUUUAGAAAUGAAGAUUAAUGCCUCAUAGUAUUGUAGACUGGCAUCAGUUUAUAAUUAAAGAUUUAUCGGUAAAAGAUGGCUAUGCGUCCUAUUAGUUAGUUGGUAAGGUAACGGCUUACCAAGACAGCGAUAGGUAGGGGUCCUGAGAGGGAGAUCCCCCACACUGGUACUGAGACACGGACCAGACUCCUACGGGAGGCAGCAGUGAGGAAUAUUGGACAAUGGAGGAGACUCUGAUCCAGCCAUGCCGCGUGUAGGAAGAAUGCCCUAUGGGUUGUAAACUACUUUUAUACAGGAAGAAACACUGGUAUGUAUACCAGCUUGACGGUACUGUAAGAAUAAGGACCGGCUAACUCCGUGCCAGCAGCCGCGGUAAUACGGAGGGUCCGAGCGUUAUCCGGAAUCAUUGGGUUUAAAGGGUCCGCAGGCGGUCGAUUAAGUCAGAGGUGAAAUCCCAUAGCUCAACUAUGGAACUGCCUUUGAUACUGGUUGACUUGAGUCAUAUGGAAGUAGAU